CCUACGGGCGGCAGCAGUGGGGAAUAUUGGACAAUGGGCGAAAGCCUGAUCCAGCCAUGCCGCGUGUGUGAAGAAGGCCUUCGGGUUGUAAAGCACUUUCAGUGGGGAAGAAAGCCUUGGGGCUAAUACCCUCGAGGAAGGACAUCACCCACAGAAGAAGCACCGGCUAACUCCGUGCCAGCAGCCGCGGUAAUACGGAGGGUGCGAGCGUUAAUCGGAAUUACUGGGCGUAAAGCGCGCGUAGGCGGUCUGAUAAGCCGGUUGUGAAAGCCCCGGGCUCAACCUGGGAACGGCAUCCGGAACUGUCAGUCUAGAGUGCAGGAGAGGAAGGUAGAAUUCCCGGUGUAGCGGUGAAAUGCGUAGAGAUCGGGAGGAAUACCAGUGGCGAAGGCGGGCUUCUGGACUGACACUGACGCUGAGGUGCGAAAGCGUGGGUAGCAAACAGGAUUAGAUACCCGAGUAGUC
rnacentral:rRNA from 1 species